ACAUGCGACAAUUCCGGUAGUAAUAUCGGAAUGCUUUUAUUAGAUCAAAACCAUCUAGUUUCUUACGGAACUGUUUGUUGGUGACUCUAAAUAACUUUGUGUUGAUCGUAUGACCUUUGUGUCGACGACAUAUCUUUCAAGUGUCUGACUUAUCAACUUUAGACGGUACAUUAUAUGUCUACCGUGGUUGUAACGAGUACAGAGAAUCAGGGUUUGGUUCUGGAGAGGCCGCCUGAGAAACGGCGACCACUUCCAAGGAAGGCAGCAGGCGCGCAAAUUACCCACUCUCAAAACGAGGAGGUAGUGAAGAGAAAUAACGAUGUUAGUCUAUUAUAGGCUGACAAUCGGAAUGGGAACACUGUAAACAGGUUAUCGAUUAACAAUUGGAGGGCAAGUCUGGUGCCAGCAGCCGCGGUAAUUCCAGCUCCAAUAAGGAAAACUAAGUUGCUGUGUUUAAAAAGCUCGUAGUUGAAUUUCGGGUAUUUGUUGCUAGCUGGUCUAACUGGCCAUGUUGGUUAACAGAUCCUCAUUUGCUGGACGGCUGGCGAUGAUCUUCAUCGAUUGUCGUCAGUUGCCAGAACGUUUACUUUGAGAAAAUUAGAGUGCUAAAAGCAGGCUCACGCCUAUAUAUAUAUUGCAUGGAAUAAUGAAAUAAGAUCUCGAUUUUAUUUCGUCGGUUUUAGAAAUUGAGAUAAUGAUUAAUAGGAUCAGAGGGGGGCGUACGUACUGUGGUGUGAGAGGUGAAAUUCUUGGAUCGCCACAGGACGAACAGCAGCGAAGGCGUUCGCCAAGAAUGUUUUCAUUAAUCAAGAACGAAAGUUUGAGGUUCGAAGACGAUUAGAUACCGUCCUAGUUCAAACCAUAAAUGUUGCCAACUGUCUUUUAGAUGCGGUUAUUUAUAUGACUCAUCUGGCGGAUCUCGAGAAAUCUAAGUUUUUAGGUUCCGGGGGAAGUAUGGUUGCAAAGCUGAAACUUAAAAGAAUUGACGGAAGGACACACAAGAAGUGGAGCCUGUGGCUUAAUUUGACCCAACACGGGAAACCUUACUCGGCCAGGACACUUUUAGGAUUGACAGAUUGAGAGCUCUUUCUUGAUUAGGUGGGUGGUGGUGCAUGGUCGUUCGUAGUUCGUGGAGCGAUUUGUCUGAUUAAUUUCGAUAACGAACGAGACUCCGGCUUACUAAAUAGUCUAAAGUUCGAAGGGACUUUUCAAGACUUCUUAGCAGGAUAAGUGGCAC
rnacentral:rRNA from 1 species